rnacentral:rRNA from 1 species
GUGGAUUAGAUACCCGGGUAGUCCACACUGUAAACGAUGAUUGCUAGGUGUGGGGGGUCUGACCCCUUCCGUGCCGGAGUUAACGCAAUAAGCAAUCCACCUGGGGAGUACGGCCGCAAGGUUGAAACUCAAAGGAAUUGACGGGGGCCCGCACAAGCAGUGGAUUAUGUGGUUUAAUUCGAAGCAACGCGAAGAACCUUACCAGGUCUUGACAUCCGACUAACGAAAUAGAGAUAUAUUAGGUGCCCUUCGGGGAAAGUCGAGACAGGUGGUGCACGGCUGUCGACAGCU